rnacentral:rRNA from 1 species
AACGAACGCUGGCGGCAUGCCUAACACAUGCAAGUCGAACGAGACCUUCGGGUCUAGUGGCGCACGGGUGCGUAACGCGUGGGAACCUGCCCUUAGGUUCGGAAUAACUCCCCGAAAGGGGAGCUAAUACCGGAUAAUGUCUUCGGACCAAAGAUUUAUCGCCUUUGGAUGGGCCCGCGUUGGAUUAGCUAGUUGGUAGGGUAAAAGCCUACCAAGGCGACGAUCCAUAGCUGGUCUGAGAGGAUGAUCAGCCACACUGGGACUGAGACACGGCCCAGACUCCUACGGGAGGCAGCAGUGGGGAAUAUUGGACAAUGGGCGAAAGCCUGAUCCAGCAAUGCCGCGUGAGUGAUGAAGGCCUUAGGGUUGUAAAGCUCUUUUACCCGGGAUGAUAAUGACAGUACCGGGAGAAUAAGCCCCGGCUAACUCCGUG